AUUGAACGCUGGCGGCAUGCCUUACACAUGCAAGUCGAACGGCAGCACGGGAGCAAUCCUGGUGGCGAGUGGCGAACGGGUGAGUAAUAUAUCGGAACGUGCCCAGUCGUGGGGAUAACGUAGCGAAAGCUACGCUAAUACCGCAUACGAUCUAUGGAUGAAAGCGGGGGAUCGCAAGACCUCGCGCGAUUGGAGCGGCCGAUAUCAGAUUAGGUAGUUGGUGAGGUAAAGGCUCACCAAGCCGACGAUCUGUAGCUGGUCUGAGAGGACGACCAGCCACACUGGGACUGAGACACGGCCCAGACUCCUACGGGAGGCAGCAGUGGGGAAUUUUGGGACAAUGGGCGCAAGCCUGAUCCAGCAAUGCCGCGUGCAGGAUGAAGG
rnacentral:rRNA from 1 species